UACAGAGGUCUCAAGCGUUGUUCGGAUUCAUUGGGCGUAAAGGGUGCGUAGGCGGCGCGGUAAGUCGGGUGUGAAAUCUCGGAGCUUAACUCCGAAACUGCAUUCGAUACUGCCGUGCUUGAGGACUGGAGAGGAGACUGGAAUUUACGGUGUAGCGGUGAAAUGCGUAGAUAUCGUAAGGAAGACCAGUGGCGAAGGCGGGUCUCUGGACAGGUUCCUGACGCUGAGGCACGAAGGUCAGGGGAGCAAACGGG
rnacentral:rRNA from 1 species